GCAAGUCGAACGGCAGCACGGGAGCAAUCCUGGUGGCGAGUGGCGAACGGGUGAGUAAAGUAUCGGAACGUGCCCAGUCGUGGGGGAUAACGUAGCGAAAGUUACGCUAAUACCGCAUACGAUCUAUGGAUGAAAGCGGGGGAUCGCAAGACCUCGCGCGAUUGGAGCGGCCGAUAUCAGAUUAGGUAGUUGGUGGGGUAAAGGCUCACCAAGCCGACGAUCUGUAGCUGGUCUGAGAGGACAGACCAGCCACACUGGGACUGAGACACGGCCCAGACUCCUACGGGAGGCAGCAGUGGGGAAUUUUGGACAAUGGGCGGAAGCCUGAUCCAGCCAUGCCGCGUGCAGGAUGAAGGCCUUCGGGUUGUAAACUGCUUUUGUACGGAACGAAAAGGUUUGGCCUAAUAAGCUGAGCUCAUGACGGUACCGUAAGAAUAAGCACCGGCUAACUACGUGCCAGCAGCCGCGGUAAUACGUAGGGUGCGAGCNGUUAAUCGGAAUUACUGGGCGUAAAGCGUGCGCAGGCGGUUAUGUAAGACAGAUGUGAAAUCCCCGGGCUCAACCUGGGGAACUGCAUUAGUGACUGCAUAGCUGGAGUACGGCAGAGGGGGAUGGAAUUCCCCGUGUAGCAGUGAAAUGCGUAAAUAUGCGGAGGAACACCGAUGGGCGAAGGCAAUCCCCUGGGCCUGUACUGACGCUCAUGCACGAAANCGUGGGGAGCAAACAGGAUUANAUACCCUGGUAGUCCACGCCCUA
rnacentral:rRNA from 1 species